GUCUACUUUAGUUAGACUCUGAUUAGAGAAUCGUAUGUAGUUGUAGAAAGUGACAGGGAUAGCAUGAUAGGCCUUCGGGCAUGAAGUGGAGGUGAAUUCCAAUUAGGAUGGUUUUGUCAGCUGUUAUGUGGGCUUGUCGCCAAAUGUGUUAUUUCUGUGAUUAUCACUUGUUUGUAUCUCCGUCACAUACUAGUUCACUCAUCACAUGAAAAGGGAUGGUAAUAUUGAUAAUUGGACAGUGGACAGUAAUAUGACUUGUACUUGUUGAUUUAUAUUGGUGAUAUUGUUGAGACUGAUAUCAUGCAUGACAUACUUUCCAUAUUAUUGUUGUGAUGAUUGGUGAGGUGAGUGAUUGAGAGACUCCGAGGUUUUUGCCGGAGAUGGAGAGUGACAGAGAGACUCCGAGGUCAUUGCCGGAGAUUGAGAGUGAUUAAUAGCCUCCGAGGUUUCUGCCGGAGAGCACGAGUGGUACAUGGACUUCGCGGGUCCCCCAUGGGUCAUGGCUUUGAGGCACUGCCCUUAGCAUGUGUGUACGAGAGUGGAGUGAGAGAGAGUACGAUCCAGGUUCCAGUUCUACACCCCGUGGCUGAUACGCAAGGGUGACAUCUUUCAGUCAUUCAGGGUGAGCUACUUGGUCAUCCGUGGCCCCUGAAGGACCUCCUCUAUUUAUUUCUGUCUUUGUAUUCGACAGACAGUAUGUAGCCUUUGGGUAUUUUCAGACUUCUAUUCCGUACUAUGUUAGCGCUCUUGUACCCUUUGACCAGAUUUUGGGGUUGUCGUGACAUUUCUAGUUUUGAUAAGUAUUUAAGACUUGAUAACUUAUUCUUAUUUAAUUUUCCGCU